CUCUUUAUAUUUUAAACAUUUGAAGGUCAGACGCGGAACGAAAACAACUCAGAAAAAAGAGGAGACUAGAAAGAGCAGAGGCAAUGGAAGCCCCCCCACCUCUUGAUUACUUGACCACGAUGCCACUGGAGAUCCUCGGGCAGAUCCUGUUGAGAGUGGUCUCAGACGACGGAGACAUGGCCUUUAUGAGACUUUCUCUCACGU